rnacentral:rRNA from 1 species
GCUGGCGGCGUGCAUAACACAUUCAAGUCGAACUUAGUGGCGGACUGGUGAGUAACGCGUGAGGAACCUGCCUUUCAGAGGGGGACAACAGUUGGAAACGACUGCUAAUACCGCAUGACACAUUCGGAUGGCAUCACCUGAAUGUCAAAGAUUUUAUCGCUGAAAGAUGGCCUCGCGUCUGAUUAGCUAGUUGGUAGGGUAACGGCCUACCAAGGCGACGAUCAGUAGCCGGACUGAGAGGUUGACCGGCCACAUUGGGACUGAGAUACGGCCCAGACUCCUACGGGAGGCAGCAGUGGGGAAUAUUGGGCAAUGGACGCAAGUCUGACCCAGCAACGCCGCGUGAAGGAAGAAGGCUUUCGGGUUGUAAACUUCUUUUAAGUGGGAAGAGCAGAAGACGGUACCACUUGAAUAAGCCACGGCUAACUACGUG